UCUGCAGUUGCUGAGCUCCUGGGCGAUGAGCAGCAGCCGGCGGCCCAGCUCGGGGCGGCCUCCCCCCGGCGUCAGCAGGAGGCCGCCAAGCAGGCGCGAACUGUAGCACACAGAUCGCACCAGCCGGUCGCGGCCCCGGUUACAAAUAGAGCUUUACAAUCCAAAAUUAACAGAGGCAACAGAGAAGGAAUGGAAUUUCCCUGCUGACAAUGCAGACUGCAACCAUAAGAACAGUAUUGCUCUAAGGAGUUUGGUGGAGAAUUUAACUGAAGGAUUAAAAAAGUUUUAAUUUUUGUUUGCCCCACCCUAUCCCAAUUAAACGGGUCCUGUCGCUGAAAUGCCAACCGUUGUCAGAGGGAGAAGUGGAGGAUCCAAAAUUAAGGUUGUGUCAGUCAGUAGUCACAUGAUUGUACACAUGAUGUCAUUUACAGAAUGUGUUGUAAACAAAUGGAAUAAAAAGUCAGGCAACACA